AGAGCGAACGCUGGCGGCAGGCCUAACACAUGCAAGUCGAGCGCCCCGCAAGGGGAGCGGCAGACGGGAGAGUAACACGUGGGAACGUACCCUUUGGUUCGGAACAACACAGGGAAACUUGUGCUAAUACCGGAUAAGCCCUUACGGGGAAAGAUUUAUUGCCAAAGGAUCGGCCCGCGUCUGAUUAGCUUGUUGGUGAGGUAACGGCUCACCAAGGCUACGAUCAGUAGCUGGUCUGAGAGGAUGAUCAGCCUCACUGGGACUGAGACACGGCCCAGACUCCUACGGGAGGCAGCAGUGGGGAAUAUUGGACAAUGGGCGCAAGCCUGAUCCAGCCAUGCCGCGUGGAUGAUGAAGGCCCUAGGGUUGUAAAGUCCUUUCGACGGGGAAGAGUAAUGACGGUACCCGUAGAACGAAGCCCCGGCUAACUUCGUGCCAGCAGCCGC
rnacentral:rRNA from 1 species